GCAAUAGUGGUGCAGUGGUAGAAUUCUUGCCUUCCAUGCAAGAGACCCCAGGUUCAAUUCCUGGCCAGUGCA
rnacentral:tRNA from 1 species